GCCGGGGUGCCCGAGCGGACCAAGGGGGUGGGCUCGAGACCUCAGACGGGUUACCCACUGUCCUUCGUGGGACACACGGGUUCGAAUCCCGUCCCCGGCG
rnacentral:tRNA from 1 species